rnacentral:rRNA from 1 species
GAUGAACGCUGGCGGCGUGCCUAAUACAUGCAAGUCGAGCGAAUGGAUUAAGAGCUUGCUCUUAUGAAGUUAGCGGCGGACGGGUGAGUAACACGUGGGUAACCUGCCCAUAAGACUGGGAUAACUCCGGGAAACCGGGGCUAAUACCGGAUAACAUUUUGAACCGCAUGGUUCGAAAUUGAAAGGCGGCUUCGGCUGUCACUUAUGGAUGGACCCGCGUCGCAUUAGCUAGUUGGUGAGGUAACGGCUCACCAAGGCAACGAUGCGUAGCCGACCUGAGAGGGUGAUCGCGCACACUGGGACUGAGACACGGCCCAGACUCCUACGGGAGGCAGCAGUAGGGAAUCUUCCGCAAUGGACGAAAGUCUGACGGAGCAACGCCGCGUGAGUGAUGAAGGCUUUCGGGUCGUAAAACUCUGUUGUUAGGGAAGAACAAGUGCUAGUUGAAUAAGCUGGCACCUUGACGGUACCUAACCAGAAAGCCACGGCUAACUACGUGCCAGCAGCCGCGGUAA